rnacentral:rRNA from 1 species
UAGGGAAUAUUGCACAAUGGAGGAAACUCUGAUGCAGCGACGCCGCGUGAGUGAUGAAGGACUUCGGUUCGUAAAGCUCUGUUGCAGGGGAAUAACACAAUGAAUGUACUCUGCGAGAAAGGGUCGGCUAGCUUCGUGCCAGCAGCCGCGGUAAGACGAGGGACCCUAGCGUUGUUCGGAAUCAUUGGGCGUAAAGCGGGUGUAGGUGGCUUUGUAAGUCAGGUGUGAAAGCCCGGGGCUUAACCUCGGAAGUGCAUUUGAUACUGCGAAGCUUGAGUGCUGGAGAGAUUACUGGAAUUCCUGGUGUAGUGGUGAAAUACGUAGAUAUCAGGAGGAAUACCGGAGGCGAAGGCGGGUAAUUGGCCAGACACUGACACUCAGACCCGAAAGCGUGGGGAUCAAACAGGAUUAGAUACCCACGUAGUCCC